AAAGUGAGAGAGUCGGGCUGAGAUUUUGUUAUUUUGAUUGUUGCUUUUGUUUAGCAUGUAGUAGUUAAAGAACUAAGUUUUGGAUCUAUAACGACUUUGAGUUCUGUGAUUACUUUUAAAGUGAGAAUAUAUUUUAUUUGGGUAAUUUGUUUUCCUUUUGAAGGUAACUUUCACUGUACUUGUUGGUUUGUGCCUGUGUUUCAUGUAUUGAAGUUUUUUUAACCCCUCUAUCAAUGCGUUACCUCUUUGAUUUUCACUUGUGCUAACCAAUGUGGUCAUGAUCUGGGAAUAGCUUUUAAUUGCAUCGUUUGUUGAUCCUAAGUCACUAAGCAAUUCCUGUCAUCUGCAUCAUUGCAUGUUACCCUGUAAUAGAGAAGCGAGCGCGAGAGUACCAGUUCAGCAGGUAGUUUUGUAUUCGUUCAUAGAGAUAGAAUCUAUAGCAAAUGAGGGCCAAACCAUGGUACUUUUGCAUUUUUUCUUGAAAGUGCACCUGGCUAUGUGCAUUAUGAAAUGUUUCUUAGUCUUGAUUCUUUGCUCAUAGUGCUUAUUCUUUCUGCGUACCACUUCUAUGGGAAUAUUCUAUGCGUUUUUGGGGUUGUUUUGUCAAGUUGUGAUCAGUGAUCAUAGUCUUAAAGCUUGUACCUGGAGUCUUGGAAUUUUUGCAAGGGAGAAGAUUGUGUUAGUGGUAACUAAUGAUAUUGAAUUGCUUAGUGGAAAAAUGAUCACAAAAAUGUUAUUGGUGCAAGGAUCCAUGUGUUUAAUAAAAAACGAGUACAAAUUAUUCAUUUAACUUAGGGGCAGGCAUCCUAGUUGUAGCAGAAGGUUUAUGGUUUGAUCUGUAUCAUAUUGUGGUCAAUUUCUACUAUACCGGCCUAAAAUACCUCAUUUUCUUCUUCCAACUGGUUUUAUUUGUUUGUGGAUGAAGUAUUGGAGGCCUCCUACUUGUUUAUUGCUUGAUGUGUCGGAAUAGGGUGGGCAUUGCUUUCUGAACUAUCAUACGUUGGGGUUUUUAACUGUGAUUUUGUUUGGUGGUGGUUGAAAAUGAAUAGGACUGGGGCCUCUCACUCCUCCCCUACUCGUUGAAAUUACUGAAUUGCAGAUAAUGAUUGUUUUUUUUUUUGAAAUUAUAUCCCAAAUAAUGUUGAGAUACAAAAGCUGAGUUAUAACACUCGUGUCCUUUUUAACUCCACUGAAGCUGGGAAAAAGCCCCCUAAGCCAUUUGAUGAAAGUAUUCGUUGAGAACCAGAAAUAACAGAUAAUUUUGCUGUCAAUAAGCACAAUAGCCACUAAACUAGUAGCUUAUUGUGGUAAGAGUGGUAGAAUUACAUGAGCAGGGUGGUGGCAGUUAACCCCCUCUCAUGUGCGCCUCGGCUCACGACCCCCUUUUUUUUUUACUCCUAAACGAUGACAUUCUUUGUAUUGAUUUAACCUGAUAGUACAAGUAUAAAUUACGAAAGGUGCAAUCUGCCAUCAUUGUUCUUCUGUACUAGAUCCUUGAUCCAACCUGGGAAGUUUGUUUGCCAUUUUACAUCAUUAACAAUUUUCAAAACAAAUUUUACUAGUCUAUGCUACAAUUUAUUGCUUGUUCUAUAGACAAAAAAAGGAGAAAGGGCACUGGUCAAAAAACUCACUCAAUUCUUGUGUGUCCUCCAGUACAAUAGUAAUAUUGUAGUCAUUGUAUGUAAUGCUGUCGAUUACACUUUUGGCAGUGAGAUUGGAUAUCAAUCUUUCUCCAACCUGCUUCCUUUUACAAUUGAAGAGUUGUUCUAAUUGCCAGGGCCUCUUCUCGUCUUGGUUCUCUUAUCUUUCCGUCGUUAAUUGCCCAGGCCUUCAAAAUGUGUCCCUUCCAGUUCCGAGCUACAAUUCCUUACAAUGCCCGGGUUCACUACUUGAAAAAUAAAAAUUGUUGACUAGCAAGCUCCUAAUAUGAUAUAUCCUGCUAAUAAAUUAUACACGAGGCUGCGGUCGUUAUCCUGAGUCUUAGUCCAAAGACAAAUUCUUAGUAAAAAUUGUAUGAAUUGUAUCAUCACAUCCCUUAUUCGGAUAAAGAAGAUGUAAGCGUCUACACAAAGUAGCGUUGUUUUUCCUAGCAGUACUAACUAGUCCAGCUUUUAAUGAGGUGAAAACGGAGCCAAAUUAUCCGGGCAUUAGGCUGGUCGGGGUCCACUAAUAGGGUCAAACAGGAUUCCUCCUCAGCGGGUGCAGGAUUUUAGGGGCCGAGUUAGUGUGAGUCACCACCAUCCACUGCGAACGCACGUCUAAAACAAAAAAACAAAAGAAAAAGGCCCCAAAUGAAAAGUGGGUCGAGUUUCUUUGAGGCACGGAGUCAAAUGAAAAGUCAAUUAGUAAAUAGUUUAUCGGCUACUUUGCCAUCAUGCUAAAUAAAACACACACACACACACACUAUUAAGCACUUGUGAUGAUUAGUGAUAAUUGAUUUAGUGCACAAACAUAUAUUGUACUAACAACUAAAAAUCUUCAAGCAAUUUUGUUGUAUUUAAUAGUAGUACUAUUAAGUUAAAAACAAAUAAAGAUUCUAAAAUGAAUUCGCCUCCAAUUUCCACUCGUAAUCCAAAAAUCCUGCCAAAACAUGUUUCAUUACUCUUUUUUUUUUUGUCAAUUAUCACCAUGUAUUUUCACUCUUACUACUAUUCUAACCUGUUCUAAGGAAGCGAUCCAACUCUUACUCCUAUUCUAACCUAUUCUAAGAAAGUGAUCCAAUUGGAUCAAAGAGAACCGAUGGGGAUUGAACCAGUAUUGGACUAUACUGGUGCACUACGUACUUAUAUGAAUUUAGAAGAAAUCACAUUAAUAGCAAUGUGAUGGUAGAUAGGAUUUGAAUUCUUAACCUCCCACUCCAUGAAGACGCGGUGAGCAACUAUUUGUAUGUGCUCUUCAUAUAAUAAACCCUUGUUGCGUCCUUCAAUACCAGAGAAAAAAAAAAAAAAAAAAA
rnacentral:lncRNA from 1 species